UGGCGGCGUGCCUAACACAUGCAAGUCGUACGAGAAAGUUGGCUUCGGCCGAUGAGUAAAGUGGCGCACGGGUGAGUAAUGCGUGGAUAAUCUGCCCUUUAGUUGGGAAUAACGUACCGAAAGGUGCGCUAAUACCUGAUAAUACUGCAUAACUACUGUUGUGUAGUCAAAGAAGGCCUCUGUUUACAAGCUUUUGCUGAAGGAUGAGUCCGCGUACCAUUAGCUGGUUGGUGGGGUAAUGGCCUACCAAGGCUACGAUGGUUAGCUGGUCUGAGAGGAUGAUCAGCCACACUGGAACUGAGACACGGUCCAGACUCCUACGGGAGGCAGCAGUGAGGAAUAUUGCGCAAUGGGGGCAACCCUGACGCAGCAACGCCGCGUGAGUGAGGAAGGUUUUCGGACCGUAAAGCUCUGUCGAGCGGGAAGAAAUGUAUCAUGGCUAAUAUCCAUGAUACUUGACGGUACCGCUAAAGGAAGCACCGGCUAACUCCGUG
rnacentral:rRNA from 1 species